AAACCAGCACCUCAAGUGGUCAGGAGGAUUAUUGGGCCUAAAGCAUCCGUAGCCUGUUCUGUAAGUUUUCGGUUAAAUCCAUUAGCUCAACUAAUGGGCUGCCGAAAAUACUGUAGAACUAGGGAGUGGGAGAGGUAGACGGUAUUCGGUAGGAAGGGGUAAAAUCCUUUGAUCUAUUGAGGACCACCUGUGGCGAAGGCGGUCUACCAGAACACGUUCGACGGUGAGGGAUGAAAGCUGGGGGAGCAAACCGGAUUAGAAACCCGAGUAGUCC
rnacentral:rRNA from 1 species